rnacentral:rRNA from 1 species
GCGAUUCGCCCUUCGGGGCGCACCAGGCGCGAAAACUCCACAAUGUACGGAAGUACGAUGGGGUUAUCUCGAGUGCAGUCCGAUAAGGGCUGCUUUUCCAUAGAGUAAUAUCCUGUGGGAAUAAGAGGGGGGCAAGACUGGUGUCAGCCGCCGCGGUAACACCAGCCCCUCGAGUGGUGGGGACUAUUAUUUGGCCUAAAGCGUCCGUAGCUGGCUGUAUCCGUCCCCCGUUAAAUCCAGCGUCCUAAGCGUUGGACUGCGGGUGAUACCAUACAGCUAGAGGGUGGGAUAGGUGAGCGGUAUUUCUGGGGUAGGGGCGAAAUCCUUUGAUCCCAGGAGGACCACCAGUGGCGAAGGCUGCUCACUAGAACACGCCUGACGGUCAGGGACGAAAGCUGGGGCAGCGAACCGGAUUAGAUACCCGGGUAGUCCCAGCUGUAAACGAUGCUGCUAUGGUGUUGGGUCGGCCACGUGCCGCCCCAGUGCCGCAGGGAAGCCGUUAAGCUAUCCGCCUGGGGAGUACGGCCGCAAGGCUGAAACUUAAAGGAAUUGGCGGGGGAGCAC